rnacentral:rRNA from 1 species
ACACCGGCAGCUCAAGUGGUAGCCGCUUUUAUUGGGCCUAAAGCGUCCGUAGCCGGUCUGAUAAGUCUCUGGUGAAAUCCCACAGCUUAACUGUGGGAAUUGCUGGAGAUACUAUCAUGACUCGAGGUCGGGAGAGGCUGGAGGUACUCCCAGGGUAGGGGUGAAAUCCUGUAAUCCUGGGAGGACCACCUGUGGCGAAGGCGUCCCGCGGGAACGAACCUGACGGGGAGGGACGAAAGCCAGGGGCGCGAACCGGAUUAGAUACCCGGGUAGUCCUGGCCGUAAACGAUGUGGACUUGGUGUUGGGAUGGCUUCGAGCUGCCCCAGUGCCGAAGGGAAGCUGUUAAGUCCACCGCCUGGGAAGUACGGCCGCAAGGCUGAAACUCAAAGGAAUUGACGGG